rnacentral:rRNA from 1 species
GCCGCGAAUUCGCCCUUAGGGUUUGAUUAUGGCUCAGAUUGAACGCUGGCGGCAGGCCUAACACAUGCAAGUCGAGCGGUAGCACAGGAGAGCUUGCUCUCCGGGUGACGAGCGGCGGACGGGUGAGUAAUGUCUGGGAAACUGCCCGAUGGAGGGGGAUAACCACUGGAAACGGUGGCUAAUACCGCAUAACGUCUACGGACCAAAGAGGGGGACCUUCGGGCCUCUUGCCAUCGGAUGUGCCCAGAUGGGAUUAUCUAGUAGGUGGGGUAACGGCUCACCUAGGCGACGAUCCCUAGCUGGUCUGAGAGGAUGACCAGCCACACUGGAACUGAGACACGGUCCAGACUCCUACGGGAGGCAGCAGUGGGGAAUAUUGCACAAUGGGCGCAAGCCUGAUGCAGCCAUGCCGCGUGUGUGAAGAAGGCCUUCGGGUUGUAAAGCACUUUCAGCGAGGAGGAAGGCCAAUAGCUUAAUACGCUGUUGGAUUGACGUUACUCGCAGAAGAAGCACCGGCUAACUCCGUGCCAGCAGCCGCGGUAAUACGGAGGGUGCAAGCGUUAAUCGGAAUUACUGGGCGUAAAGCGCACGCAGGCGGUUUGUUAAGUCAGAUGUGAAAUCCCCGCGCUUAACGUGGGAACUGCAUUUGAAACUGGCAAGCUAGAGUCUCGUAGAGGGGGGUAGAAUUCCAGGUGUAGCGGUGAGAUGCGUAGAGAUCUGGAGGAAUACCGGUGGCGAAGGCGGCCCCCUGGAC